UACAGAGGGUGCGAGCGUUGUUCGGAAUUACUGGGCGUAAAGCGCGCGUAGGUGGUGUGUUAAGUCUGCCGGUCAAAUGCCGAGGCUCAACCUCGUUGCACGCCGGGGAUACUGGCACGCUAGAGACAAGUAGAGGCAAGCGGAAUUCCGGGUGUAGCGGUGGAAUGCGUAGAGAUCCGGAAGAACACCGGAGGCGAAGGCGGCAUCCUGGACCGGUAUUGACGCUGAGGAGCGAAGGCCAGGGGAGCAAACGGG
rnacentral:rRNA from 1 species